AUUGAACGCUGGCGGCGUGCUUAACACAUGCAAGUCGAUCGGUAACGCGGGGGCAACCCUGGCGACGAGAGGCGGACGGGUGAGGAACGCUUGGGAAUCUGCCUAUCAGCGGGGGACAACCCGGGGAAACUCGGGCUAAUACCGCAUACGCUCUACGGAGGAAAGCCGGGGACCGCAAGGCCUGGCACUGAUAGAUGAGCCCAAGUCGGAUUAGCUAGUUGGCGGGGUAAGGGCCCACCAAGGCGACGAUCCGUAGCUGGUCUGAGAGGACGUUCGGCGACACUGGGACUGGGAAACGGCCCAGACUCCUACGGGAGGCAGCAGUGGGGAAUAUUGGACAAUGGGGGAAACCCUGAUCCAGCGACGCCGCGUGGGUGAAGAAGGCCUGCGGGUUGUAAAGCCCUUUCGGUAGGGACGAAAGCUCUCGACCUAACACGUCGGGAGGUUGACUUAACCUACAAAAGAAGCACCGGCUAACUCUGUGCCAGCAGCCGCCGUAA
rnacentral:rRNA from 1 species